UGCAAAACGGGGUGAAAACAAUAACUUCCCAAUUUUUGAAAAUCUUCGAUUUUCUUAGCGGGAAGUUAAAAAUACGAGAAAAAUGUGAUUUCUUCAGCUGAAAAAGAAUAUUGUUGAAAAUUUUCAACAAUUUAAAUUCUUGUAACAAGAGUAUUCUUUUUUCUCAAGAGUAAUUUUUUCUCUCAUUGUAAUUCAACAUUUGAAAACGAUUAAAAAUUAUAACGGUCUUUUAAUCCUGCCAUUCGCUUCAUUCAUAUUUUAAAACUUGAUGAGCACAUCACCCCUUAUUGACGUAAACAAGCCUGGUUGUCUAUUAAAAGCUGUCGUAUUUAUUAUCUUUCUUAGUAUUUUUUAUAAAUUACUGUAUUUAGAUAAAUCCUGUUACUUACGUGAAUUGUUCAUUGAAGAUAUUGAUGUUAGGCACUCUUAAAGAUUACCAGCAAAGAGAAAUAGUGAACUUUGAAGUAUCGAAAUUCUCUACAAAUUACUGAGUUCUCAUUUGUUAUAUUCUAUUCGACUCUGGGAAGAAUUACCAAUUGAUAUAGUGAACGCAUCCAGUAUCGAAAUUUAAAAAAACAACAUAUGUGACUAUUUACUCAACUAAGAUCUUAAACUUAAUUAAUAUAAAUUAUUCUAAGCUCAAUUGUUAUAUUUCACUUUAAUUAAAAACCUUUCACUCUUUUUAUUAGUAAAUUAAGUACGUCAAGUACAUCAAACACCUGUUAAUAUUGUUUCAGUACUUUAAAAUAUUGAUCUUUAGAUAGACUAAAUGAAGUUUAAUGAGAUACUUAGAAUGAGUUAUAACUAUUUUAUGUUAUAUUUACUCUACGUAAAGAUUAUCAUAUAUUUAAAUUGUUAAAUAUUUAUAUUUUGCUUGCCAUCUAACCAAAUGGCCUUGGUAUAUAUAAAUGAUUGAUCUAUUUAUCUACUUUUUGCAAAUUUUGAAUGCAUUAAAUUAUAAAAGGGGAUAGUCACUGUGAUGGCCAAAAAAAUAAGUGAUUUUCGGGAAUUUUUUGACUGGGAAAAUAAACAAAAUUUGGGGAUCAGGUUUUUUUUGUUCUAUUAAAUGUUCAUUGAAGAUUAAUAUUCUAAAUUUGUAUCAAGAAAUAUCAAAUUGUUACAAAGUUAUUAACAUUCUUGACCAUCCCCAAAAAAUUCUUCCUCCAUGGUUGCAUUGUUCCUUCGAAAAAGGGUCAUCCGAGAAAAAAAUUUUAGUUAGGUUAUUUAUUUAUUUAUUUAUUUAUUCAAACGCCAAUUGACUUUAUACAUUAAGUUUACAUACAAGUAAAUUUUAACUUUAGGCGAAAAAAAGAAUAAAAGCAUUAACAUUUUAUUAGGAUUUAAUUAAAAUUAAAUUAAUUUCAUUUACUUUAUAAUUGUAACUUAGUAACAGUAUACAAACAAUAUUCCUGAGAAUAAUUAUUACAAAAAGAUGAAAUUGCACUUUUUAACAGAUUAGUGGUGAUUGGUUGGAAGUAGCCGUUUAUUAACCGAUGAUACGAACGAUGUGAUCGAAGUAUCAAAUAAUUCGAGGUUUGAGCAAUUAUCGUUGAUUAGAUUAGCGAUCCUAUUUCUCGGGCUAUUAUAUAAAUAACUCUUGGUAGUUUUAAUUGUCUCUAUUAAUCGAUUUGAGUCAAUGUGCCCAUUAAUGAUUUUGAAUGCAAAGAUUAUGUCUGAUAUUUGUCUUCUCUGGGAAUGUUUGUUGAUCUGGAAGUUACUGUAGGCUUCCUGAACUGUACACAUAAACGUACGAUUUACUAGAAGUUUGCACAGUUUAAGUAUUAGUGUUCUUUCGUUCUUGAAGUCAUUACCACUUGAUCUAAUUAUGUAUCCUAGAGUUUUAUAUGCCUUUGAUACUGUUUAGUCUACAUGCUCAUUGAAGCUUAACUUGGUAUCAACUAGCACACCUAGGUCUUUCAUGACAAUAGAUUUAGGUAGCAGCUGGCCAUUUAUAUUGUAGUCAAUUUGAAAGAGUCCAUGAUAUCUAGUAAACAUAGUAAUAAUCUGUAUGAAUUUGGUUAUCGCUGCACCUUACUGAUUUUUUUUAUUUUGAUUUGAAAAAAAAAAAAAUGGCGAGUAAUUGAAAAUUUUUUUGGCCUUCUUUUUGGAUUUAAACGGCCUUAAAAAAUUUU